GAACCACUAGCUCAGUUGGCAGAGCAUUUGACUUUUAAUCAAAGGGUCCGGGGUUCGAAUCCCCGGUGGUUCACCA
rnacentral:tRNA from 5 species